rnacentral:hammerhead_ribozyme from 1 species
AUCUAGCCGAUGAGUCCCAAAUAGGACGAAAUGCGCAUCCUGGAU